GACGAACGCUGGCGGCGUGCUUAACACAUGCAAGUCGAACGGGCCUUGUCCCCUUUUUUUUUGGGGGCGGGGUUAGUGGCGAACGGGUGAGUAACACGUGAGUAACCUGCCCCUCACUUCUGGAUAACCGCUUGAAAGGGUGGCUAAUACGGGGUGUUCUGGCCUGCUCGCAUGGGUGGGUUUGGAAAGAUUCGACCGGUUUUGGUUGGUUUGGGGGGGGAUGGGCUCGCGGCCUAUCAGCUUGUUGGUGGGGUGAUGGCCUGCCAAGGCUUUGCCGGGUAGCCGGCCUGAGAGGGUGUGCGGUCACUCUGGGACUGAGACACGGCCCAGACUCCUACGGGAGGCAGCAGUGGGGUAUAUUGCACAAUGGGCGCAAGCCUGAUGCAGCGACGCCGCGUGAGGGAUGGAGGCCUUCGGGUUGUGAACCUCUUUCGCCAGUGAAGAAGGUCCUGCUCUUUGUGGUGGGGUUGACGGUAGCUGGGUUAAUGAAGCGCCGGCUAACUACGUG
rnacentral:rRNA from 1 species